UGGGGAAUUUUGGACAAUGGGCGAAAGCCUGAUCCAGCAAUGCCGCGUGUGUGAAGAAGGCCUUCGGGUUGUAAAGCACUUUUGUCCGGAAAGAAAUCCUUGGCUCUAAUACAGUCGGGGGAUGACGGUACCGGAAGAAUAAGCACCGGCUAACUACGUGCCAGCAGCCGCGGUAAUACGUAGGGUGCAAGCGUUAAUCGGAAUUACUGGGCGUAAAGCGUGCGCAGGCGGUUUGCUAAGACCGAUGUGAAAUCCCCGGGCUCAACCUGGGAACUGCAUUGGUGACUGGCAGGCUAGAGUAUGGCAGAGGGGGGUAGAAUUCCACGUGUAGCAGUGAAAUGCGUAGAGAUGUGGAGGAAUACCGAUGGCGAAGGCAGCCCCCUGGGCCAAUACUGACGCUCAUGCACGAAAGCGUGGGGAGCAAACAGGAUUAGAUACCCCUGGUAGUCCCACGCCCUAAAACGAUGUCAACUAGUUGUUGGGGAUUCAUUUCCUUAGUAACGUAGCUAACGCGUGAAGUUGACCGCCUGGGGAGUACGGUCGCAAGAUUAAAACUUAAAUGAAUUG
rnacentral:rRNA from 1 species